AUAAAGUGGAGGAGGGUGAAAUGACAGCAUAAAGAAAAGAGGACAAAACAAGAAGGUUAGGGAUUUUUAGCUUUCUAGAGGGCAAAACAAAAUCUUAUAUUGUGUAACAUGGUGAACAUAUAGAGCGUAUUGUAUCAAAUAUAACACAUCUUCGUGACAUACAGUAACCACUCAACUUUCAACAACAUAUCUGUGCAAGACAUAUUAGCCUCUUACUUUCACAUUUUAUGUUGUAUGCAACAUAUUUGUUAUGACACAUAGUAGUUCCUAAACCUCAUGUAUUGUAUCGCACGCAACAUAUCUAUAUGUCGGCUCUUAUCAUCCUAUGUGUGAGUCGUGCACAACACAUCUACUCGAGACAUACUAAUUCCU
rnacentral:lncRNA from 1 species